CUCCUCCCCGUCCUCCCCAGUCCCUCCCAGUCCUUUCCAGUGCCGCCAAAUCCUCUCCCAGUCCCUCCCAGUGCCCAUAAAUCCACUCCCAGUGCCCUCCAGAUCCUUUUCUAGUCCCUCCUAGUGCCCCCAAGUCUCCUCCCAGUCCCUCCCAGUCCUUCCCAGUUCCUCUAAAACCUCUGCCAGUCCUUCCCAGUGCCCAUAAAUCCACUCCCAGUGCCCCCAACUCCCUUCCCAGUCCCUCCCAGUGCCCCUAAGUCUCCUCCCAGUUCCUCCCAGUCUCUCCCAGUCCCUCCCAGUGCCCCCAAAUCUCCUCCCAGUCUCUCCCAGUGCCCCCAGCUCCACUCCCAGUACCCCCAAAUCACCUCCCAGUCUCUCCCAGUGCCCUCAAAUCCUCUCCCAGUCCCUCCUAGUGCCCAUAAAUCUCCUCCUAGUCCCUCCCAGUGCCCCCAAAUCUUCUCCCAGUCCAUCCCAGUCCUUCCCAGUGCCCCUAAAUCCUGUCCCAGUGCCCCCAACUCCCUUCCCAGCCCCUCCCAGCCCCUCCCAGUCCCCCCCAUCCCGCAGGGCCCGGGUCGCCGUGACUACGGGGAGCGUUUCCUGCUGGCUCUGGAGCAGCUCUGCUUCGAGUUCCUGCGGCGCCUGGACAGCGCCCUGCCCCCCCCCGACCUCCAGCAGCUGCAGGCGGUGGUGUGGAGCCACGCCCCUUCCGGGCCCCGCCCCCCGGCCCUGCCAAUCCUGCAGCGCUUCCUGGCCGACAUGGGACACGCCCCUUCCGCCCCGCCCACAGGUACAGUGCCCCGCCCCCUGAGCUCCGCCCGGGACCGGAAAUCUCCGUCAGAACGGU